rnacentral:rRNA from 1 species
UGGAAAGUUAAAAAAUCGUAACAAGAUCUCCGUUUGGUGAACCAGCGGAGGGAUCAUUACUGAGUUACCGCUCAUCAACCCUUUGUGAACAUACCUUAACUGUUGCUUCGGCGGGUAGGCGUCCCCUAAAAAGGACGUCUCCCGGCCCUCUCCCGUCCGCGGGUGGGGCGCCCGCCGGAGGAUAACCAAACUCUGAUUUAACGACGUUUCUUCUGAGUGACACAAGCAAAUAAUCAAAACUUUUAACAACGGAUCUCUUGGUUCUGGCAUCGAUGAAGAACGCAGCGAAAUGCGAUAAGUAAUGUGAAUUGCAGAAUUCAGUGAAUCAUCGAAUCUUUGAACGCACAUUGCGCCCGCCAGCAUUCUGGCGGGCAUGCCUGUUCGAGCGUCAUUUCAACCCUCAAGCUCUGCUUGGUGUUGGGGCUCUACGGUUGACGUAGGCCCUUAAAGGUAGUGGCGGACCCUCUCGGAGCCUCCUUUGCGUAGUAACAUUUCGUCUCGCAUUGGGAUUCGGAGGGACUCUAGCCGUAAAACCCCCAAUUUUACUAAGGUUGACCUC